rnacentral:sRNA from 1 species
GGUGAAAUAAACAGCCAUGUUGCUCACACAAAGCCUGUUUGGUGGUCUCUUCACACGGACGCUCAUGAAAUUUGGUGAUGUGACUCGGAUAGGGGGACCUCCCUUGGGAGAUCAGUACCCUGUCCUCCUGCUCUUUGCUCCGUGAGAAAGAUCCACCUACAACCUCAGGUCCUUAGACCAACCAGCCCAAGAAACAUCUCACCAAUUUCAAAUCCAGACCCCACUGGAAAUCGGACUGUCCAACUCACCUGACAGCCACUCCCACAGCCGCUGGAACUCUGGCCCAAGGCUCUCUGACUCCUUCCCAGAUCUUCUUGGCUUAGCGGCUGAAGACUGACGCUGCCCGAUCGCCUCGGAAGCCCCCUAGACCAUCACGGACGCCGAGCUUCGGGUAACUCUCACAGUGGAAGAAACACAACUACAGAUUUCUACCUGGUGCAUGGCCAUCGCUCAUGAAGACUACAACUUCCAGCUUCCUUUGAAGAAAAAGAGGACUUGAUGGCAUUGUCGCUAAGUAAGAAAUAAUGUGUGUGACUUCAGGGUUGCCCCCUUAAAGGGAGGGGACAUUUUCCAUCCUGCUGUUCAGAGUAUGGAUGUGAUGAGAGACAUCUUGGAUGAUGCAGAGGAGGUGAACACCCCAGGACAAUGAAACCACAGGAGCCUACCCUCAGGCCCCACCAUAAAAUGUAGGGCCAGUCCUACAUUUUAUCAAUGACUUGCGUGAACACAGAAAAUGUGGAUACAACCAAAAGGUAACAAUCCAAUUAAAAAAUGGACAAAAAACUUGAAUAAACAUUUCUCAAAAGAAGAUAUACAAAUGAUCAAAAAGCAUAUGAAAAAAUGCUCAACAUCGCUAAUUGUAAGAGAAAUGCAAAUCAAAACUAUAAUGAGAUACCACCUUAUAUUGAUUAGGAAGACUGCUAUAAAAAUAGUAAACAAACAAACAAACAAAGUAAGUCUUGGGGAGGAUGCAGAGAAAUUAAAAUUUUUGUGCACUGUUAGUGGGAAUGUAAAAUGGUGCAGCUGUUACGGGAAACGGUAUGACAGUUCCUCAA